AACGAACGCUGGCGGCGUGCCUAAUACAUGCAAGUAGAACGCUGAAGGAGGAGCUUGCUCUUCUGGAUGAGUUGCGAACGGGUGAGUAACGCGUAGGUAACCUGCCCGGUAGCGGGGGAUAACUAUUGGAAACGAUAGCUAAUACCGCAUAACAGUAGAUGUUGCAUGACAUUUACUUAAAAGGUGCAAUUUCAUCACUACCAGAUGGACCUGCGUUGUAUUUGCUAGUUGGGGGGGUAACGGCUCACCAAGGCGACGAAACAUAGCCGGCCUGAGGAGGGUGUCGGGCACACUGGGACUGGGACACGGCCCAAGACCCUACGGGGGGCAGCAGUAGGGGAUCUUCGGCAAUGGGCGGAAGGCUGACCGAACAACGCCGGGUGGGUGAAGGAGGUUUUCGGGUCGUAAAGCUCUGUUGUUAGGGAAGAAAGAGUGUGAGAGUGAAAAGUUCACACUGUGACGGUAUCUUACCAGAAAGGGACGGCUAACUACGUG
rnacentral:rRNA from 1 species